ensembl:lncRNA novel transcript, antisense C18orf1
CAUUUGAUGCUACUGCCAGUUUUAUUAUUGUUAUUAUGCUCAUUAAUAUUAAUACUCAGCCACUGUACCUAUUUAAGAUUGAAGAGGAGAAAGGCAAGGUUUUGCUGAAAUCAUGAUAGCAGUGACAAUGGGUUUGGGGCGGGUGGGCAUGAGGGGCUUGAAGGCUCCUUGAAGCGACCUUCCUAGUUAUAAUAUUUGAAAAUGUAGAAUAAUUUAUGGGUCAGAUUGCCAAUGGUUCCUUCUCCUUUCUAAAAACCAAUUCUGAAUUUGCUUCACCAUAUUUUUGAUGAUGUGUUUUAUGGCCUCACAAACUCCCAGCUGGUUCCCUCGAUGAUCUCGUCUCUGUGGUUACUGUCAACAAUCCACAUUCGUGUUGUGGCAUAUCAUCUUACAGAAGCAUUUAAAGCAGCUCAGGGCUUCUUUCCUCUGAUGUAGAUUUUCUCCAUUGUUACUCAACGAGGCUCUGACAUCAGCCUCCUUUCAGUUC